CGCUGGCGGCAUGCUUUACACAUGCAAGUCGAACGGCAGCACGGGGGCAACCCUGGUGGCGAGUGGCGAACGGGUGAGUAACGCAUCGGAACGUGCCCAGUAGUGGGGGAUAACACAUCGAAAGAUGUGCUAAUACCGCAUACGCACUACGGUGGAAAGCGGGGGAUCGCAAGACCUCGCGCUAUUGGAGCGGCCGAUGUCCGAUUAGCUAGUUGGUGGGGUAAUGGCCUACCAAGGCUACGAUCGGUAGCUGGUCUGAGAGGAUGAUCAGCCACACUGGGACUGAGACACGGCCCAGACUCCUACGGGAGGCAGCAGUGGGGAAUUUUGGACAAUGGGCGCAAGCCUGAUCCAGCCAUGCCGCGUGAGUGAAGAAGGCCUUCGGGUUGUAAAGCUCUUUCGGCCGGAACGAAAUCGUCCGGGCUAAUACCCCGGAUGGAUGACGGUACCGGAAGAAGAAGCACCGGCUAACUACGUGCCAGCAGCCGCGGUAAUACGUAGGGUGCAGGCGUUAAUCGGAAUUACUGGGCGUAAAGCGUGCGCAGGCGGCUACGUCAAGUCAGAUUGUGAA
rnacentral:rRNA from 1 species